AGGUUAUUAGAAACUGUUCCCAGGUGACUAGAAUGGGUAAAGUUGUCUGCUUCGAUUGCCACCAACACCCUACCUCACCUACGAGAAUGUAAGAGGCAAGAAUAACCUUCUGUUAAGGAACUACACCAAGGGCUGCGAAUGCAUUCUCUGUCUCUACUAACCAAUACUCAACUUCUUCAAAAGUGGAUACCCUUGCAAAAAUAAAUGGAUUAAGUCUUUUGUACAUCUCGAUGUAGUCU
rnacentral:lncRNA from 1 species